rnacentral:rRNA from 1 species
UUGGACAAUGGGGACAACCUGAUCCCAGCAAUGCCGCGUGUAGUAUAGAAGCCCUUGGGGUUGUAACCACUUUUUGUCAGGAAAAGAAACAGCAGUGCUAACACCGUGUGCGAAUGACGGUACCUGAAGAAUAAGCAUCGGCUAACUACGUGCCAGCAGCCGCGGUAAUACGUAGGGUGCGAGCGUUAAUCGGAAUUACUGGGCGUAAAGCGUGCGCAGGCGGUUAUACAAGACAGAUGUGAAAUCCCCGGGCUUAACCUGGGAAUGGCAUUUGUGACUGCAUAGCUAGAGUGUGUCAGAGGGGGGUGGAAUUCCGCGUGUAGCAGUGAAAUGCGUAGAUAUGUGGAGGAACACCAAUGGCGAAGGCAGCCCCCUGGGAUAACACUGACGCUCAGGCACGAAAGCGUGGGGAGCAAACAGGAUUAGAUACCCUGGUAGUCCACGCCCUAAACGAUGCCA